rnacentral:rRNA from 1 species
CCUACGGGGGGCAGCAGUGGGGAAUAUUGGACAAUGGGGGGAACCCUGAUCCAGCCAUGCCGCGUGUGUGAAGAAGGCCCUCGGGUUGUAAAGCACUUUCAGUGAGGAAGAACGCCUGGUGGUUAAUACCCAUCAGGAAAGACAUCACUCACAGAAGAAGCACCGGCUAACUCCGUGCCAGCAGCCGCGGUAAUACGGAGGGUGCGAGCGUUAAUCGGAAUUACUGGGCGUAAAGCGCGCGUAGGUGGCUUGAUAAGCCGGUUGUGAAAGCCCCGGGCUCAACCUGGGAACGGCCUCCGGAACUGUCAAGCUAGAGUGCAGGAGAGGAAGGUAGAAUUCCCGGUGUAGCGGUGAAAUGCGUAGAGAUCGGGAGGAAUACCAGUGGCGAAGGCGGCCUUCUGGACUGACACUGACACUGAGGUGCGAAAGCGUGGGUAGCAAACAGGAUUAGAUACCCGAGUAGUC